rnacentral:rRNA from 1 species
UACGAAGGGUGCAAACGUUGUUCGGAAUUACUGGGCGUAAAGGGCGCGUAGGCGGCCAUCUAAGUCAGACGUGAAAUCCCCCGGCUUAACCUGGGAACUGCGUCUGAUACUGGACGGCUUGAGUAUGGGAGAGGGAUGUAGAAUUCCAGGUGUAGCGGUGAAAUGCGUAGAUAUCUGGAGGAAUACCGGUGGCGAAGGCGGCAUCCUGGACCAUUACUGACGCUGAUGCGCGAAAGCUAGGGGAGCAAACGGG